rnacentral:SRP_RNA from 1 species
GCCGAGUAUAAUGGUGCAAGCCUGUAGGCCCAGCUACUAAGGAGGCUGAGGCAGGAGAAUUGCUUGAACCCGGGAGGCGGAGGUUGUGGUGAGCCGAGAUCACGCCAUUGCACUCCAGCCUGGGCAACAAGAGCUAGACUCUGUCUCAAAAAAAAAAAAAAAAAAAAGUGAUGCCCUCUUAGAAGCCAGAGACCACUAGGCUGCCUUAGGUGGGGUGAAUAGGCCCAGGUCAGAAAUGGAGCAGGUCAAAACUCCUGUGCUGAUCAGUAGUGGGAUAGUGCCUAUGAAUCACCACUGCACUCCAGCCUGGGCAACAUAGUGAGAUUCUGUCUCA